rnacentral:lncRNA from 1 species
UUUUUUUCUUUUUUUUUUGGUGGUAAAAAUGUCAAUAGUUCAUGAAUUCUCCUCUCAUUUAUUUCUUAAAAAGUUUGGGAUUUUCCUUAAUAAUUUUUUGGAAACCAAUACUAGUACUUUUUAGAACUGUGGUAAUUCUAAAAUAUUAAUAUGACCAUAGCAUCAUGUAUGAUCCUAGAUGAUUCUAAUUAAUUAGGUGAUGAAUUAUCUAAUUGUAUCAAAUCAAUAAAAAAAAUACCUUCUAAUAUAUAUUAUAUGUAUAUAGAUCAUGAUAUUAACUUCGAAUCAAUAUAGUUGGCUAUCAUUUGUUUAAGUAUUUUUUUAAAAAAAUUUUGUGGUAAAGGAAAAGUGGCUAUGGGAAAGGGAAGGAUCUAAUGGAGAUACAAGGGAACAAGAAGAGGGAGAAUCCACUUCGAACCUAGAUAACUACACUAGGUAAACAAAUUCCGACACAAAAUUCUGUUUUCUAACAAGUGUGUGCACAAGUAACUAAACUUAAUGGAAGAGGCAAUUUCAACAAAAUUAAUUGAAUCAAUAGGUAAAGUUGGGACUCAACUUGCAGAAUCAACGUCGAAUCAAAAUUUUUGAGAAUAUAAGGACUAAAGUACUAACUUAUUUUCUAUAAUUUCAAAAUUAUUAUACAACAAAUUAUAUGUCUCUUACUUACAUUUUCGAGUAUAAUAUAAUCUAGCAUUCAAUGAUUUAUAUACAUAGAAUAUUACAAUUUACAAUAAAACAGAUAUGAAUAGUAAAAGUGUUAAUAAGUUAUGACAAAAAUAAGUUUCAAUCAAUUAGUAAUAUUAAAAAAAUACAAAGUAAACAAUUUUUUUAACUAAUCUAUUUAAAUGUAUAAUUUAUUAUCUAAAAUUCACAAUACAAGCAAUAUAAAAUAUUAUUCUAUUUAUGAUGUGUUUUCAAGGAACUUAAGAAGUGAGUGUGUGUUUGUGUGUGUGAAAAUACAUUUAUGUAUGUGAAAAUGUGUUUAUAUAUGUGAAAAAAAAAUUUGUGUGUUAAAAUGUAUGUGAAAAAGUUUAUGUAUUAAAAUGUAUUAAUUAAUUUGUUGGGUCAUAUUUGGGUCAUGGUUUGAGAUAACCUAAUAUGACUCAACCCAAAAUCAACCCAAUCUAAAGUUGGGCUGGUUGGGUAUAACCCAUUUAAGUGAAAACCCAAUAUUAACCCGUCCAAAACUCGUUCAACCCGCCCAAUUGCUAGGUAUAGCUGUAAUCGAGUCGAGUCAAACUCGAGUAUCACCAUACUCGAGCUCGACUCGACAUACAAGAAAGGUGCUCGAGUGAGUAGUAUUAUUGGAGCUCGAGCUCGAGCUCGAAGCUUGCUCGCAAUACUCGAGCUCGACUCGCAUGGGCUCGAGUCAAUCGAGCCUUAUUGAGCUCGACCGAGCUCGAGUUACUAAAUUUCAUUUUCUUGAUAAUUUUUGUGCGAAAAAACAUUAUUGCCCUUUUAAAAAUUUUAUACGAUUUGAAACAUUUCGUAAAUUCAACAACUCUUUUGGGUAUAAGAGUAAUUUUAUAAUAAUAAUAUAUUGAAUAAUUAAAAUUAAAAGGCUCGAUAAGGCUCGACGAGCCUUCGAGCAUCGCUUUUGGAUUUUCGAACUCGACUCGUUUAGCUUAUCGAGCCGCUCGAGCUCGACUCGAACUCGGGUUGACCGAGUUCGACUCAAGCUUUUGACCGGGCUACUCAUGAGUAGCUUGAUUACAUCCCUAGACAAUGAUUUUUGUUGUAUCAAUGGUCAUCAUAUCUAAAGGAACAUUGAAAACCUGGAUCCAAAAAUCACAGUGGGAAAAAGGAAUCUUCCUAGGAGAGACAUCACCUUCAUAUUCUGUGAGAACCAAAAGCUUUUGAUCAAAGGACAAUGGACAUCCUUGUAAUACAUGAGCUUUAUCUAUUGGGUGGAAAAAACGGAAUAGAGGGAUGUUAUCAUCAAUGAGGGUGUAAGAAAUCCCAUGCGGAGGGUUCCAUAUCCCUUUCAAAGUGUUUAUCACGGCUUCCACAUUGAUAGGCUUCGUGGAGAGGACUUUCCCUAGAGGGCAAAAGGAGCCACUAUGUUGGACAGCAGCGUUGGUUGUUAGGGGGAUUACUAGCCUGUUGGAUUCAUUCUCACGAACUAUCAAGUUGGCAUAGAGCUUUUCUAGAUCUUCAGCCAUCACCAAGGAGUUUCCAACUGAACAAGUGCCAAAAGAGGUCAAAGUCACUGCUGAGAGGGUGAACAGCAUCCAAGACAAACACUGCAAAAGAAAAGAGCAGUUAAUAGAGAAUGAGGCAAUGAAAAAAAUGAUACUAUAAAGUAAAGAGGAGGAAAGUUGUGUGGGAGUAGAAGGUUUUGGGUGGAUUAUAUUAGAAACAAUGAAACCUUCACUGGAUUUUGACUAAAAGGAGUCUAGCAAAACCCUAGGAAAGAUGGUGACUUACAUAAGCAGCAGAUACGCCCACAGAGACAACUCUCAUAGGAGUAAUAUCUACUUUAGCUACUAGGAAUAUUAUUCAAGUAACUUUAAGAUCCCUGAUUUUUCCCCUUAUCUUUUAAUCAGAUCACCUUUUAAAUAGUAAUCAAGAUUCUCAUAUCUUUAUGCCAAAUUUGCACCUUGCUAAAUAAUUUUAUUUCGAAUUUUGUGUUGCUUUCCCAAUUUAUUGGUUUCUAAAAUUAAUUUUUUAACGUAAACUAUAUUCUCAUAAUAUGGAAUUAUGUCGAAAUGGACUUUUGCAAUGGUUGAAAAAAAAAAUUAGUUGUUUGCUAAGUUCUAAAUUGUUAAAUAUGUUAAAACAAAUAAGCAAGAGACAAUUUUGUCAUGGGAAACUUAAUGUGAUUUUGGCACAUUAAGAAAUUAAUGAUAGGAGAUAAAGUAUGUUUAAGGGGGUAAGGUUUUACUCAAGCCCAUCUUUCGCGGGGCAACGUGUAAUUAGCCUAUGAUACAUUUUGUAUCGAUGACAAUAUAGGAAAAAUCUCAAGAAUUUUUUCCAUUCAGGAUGACAUUUAUGUUAGUUUUUCUCAUACAACUAAAAGUUUGUUAGAGGUAGGGAUAAAAAGUAGAUAAUUGAAGAAUUUAGUUAGAGAAAAAUAUAGUUUUGGUCUCAAUCUCUAGUCCAUAUACCAAAUUAGUUCCUAAUAUUUUGACUAAAAUAAAUUUGAUUCUCCGUGUUUCUGAUUUUAUGCAAAUUAAGGAUAAUUGACAAAAAUUUAACAAUCAUGAUUGUCAAAAUCAAUUUAUCGUUAGUCAACAAUUUUGAGUAUGGGUUUUUUUGUCUCCAUUGUUUGGCUUUCAAAUCGUUAUAGUUUCUUAUGUUUCAUAUUAGGAAUUCUAAUUAAGCUUUCAUUUUCUUUAUUUCAUUUAUUUAUGUCACUAGUGUCUCAUAUCUUUCUUCUUUUUUGCAUAUAUAAUUAGUCUAAGAGUGGGUACACUAUAAGUGUUUUUAUUAUUUUGCAUUAUGAGUAAUUAACUAAUAAUGAAUUCUAUCAUUUUUCACUUACAUUGGUUACUAAGCAUUCAAAAUAUCUAUUUAAAAUAUGAGCAAAUACACUACUAUAUAUUUAAAUUAUGUUGAUAAUCUAAUAAAUUUUUCUUUCUUUUUCCUUUUUGUUUUUAAAUAGGAAUUUUUUCUUUCUUUUUCCUUUUUGCGUUUAAAUAGGCUAUCAAUUAAAUUAGGUAUUUUAUAAAAUUAUUUUAAUUCUUCAAUACUAUCAAUUUAUGUGAACAUUACAAAUAAUUGAUUUAAAACUAUAUCAUUGCAACAUUAGGUUUUUAUAACAAGGAAAAAAAGAAAAAUUUUAUUAAAAAAACUCUAAAAGCACUUUGUAUUAGUACUUGUCUUAACUAGUUAUUAUACUUUUGGGCAGGUAACUAGCUAUUAUAAUGACAAUUUUUAACUACAACUAUUUGAAAUUUAUGUCCACAAGUAUUUCAAGAAUUUAGGCUCCGUUUGGAUUAGCUGUUUUUGAGGGUGUUUUUCAAAAAAUUUACGGUUUAUUUUUUGAAGAACAGUAAAUGUUGUUUGGAAGCUAUCGUUCAAAAAUAGAUUGUUUUUAAAAAACAAACAUGUUUGGAUUCACUGUUUUUGAAAAAACAGCAGUUAAAUUUUUCAACAAUAAUUAUCCUUUCUACAAUACUUAAUGCCGUUUGUAGUGGUACAAUUAAACGUAAACAAGAUACAUAGGUUUCAUAAGACUACGUGCCAGAUAUAAUAUGUCCGUGGAAACAUUAAUUAUUACAAAGGCAUUGACAAUCCUUCUUAUAGUUAGAAAAGCCCCACGAGGGAGAGAUCACCAUGUUCUACUGAUAUUGGUGAUAGUACAUGUGAUUGGCUAUUGCUCUCCUAUCUUCAUUCUAGCCAGCAAUUCCUUGUGCCGAUAUAUCCAGUGGUUGUGCUCCGGCCAUUUGGUUGCCCUGGUCUAAAUUAUCUACUAAUGCUGCAUCAGCUUCUUCUUCAACAAAAUAUACGUCAUUGGGAACAUAAUUGCGCAUGAAGUUGUGCAAGGCACAACAAUCAAGGAUAAUGUUAUUUUGUGUUGCCAUCAAAUAGUUCUGCAUGGGCCCCUUAAGUAUCGAAAAUCGCUUUUUCAAGAUACCAAACGUGCGUUCUAUAAUGUUUCUUAACGAUGCAUGGCGUCUGUUGAAAAGUGCUUUUGCUGCCCGCUCUUGUGGGGUUCCCCGUGCACCCCUAAAGGGAGUCAUAAAUCCUGGCAUAUUUGUGUAUGCCGCGUCUACCACAUAAUACUUACCUGCAUAUCAUGUAGUUAUAGUUAAGUCCAUUAUGGCAACUCAAAUUUAAACAAUAAGAAAACUCAGUUAGGCAAGGCAUUAUUUGAUUUAAUUUUCACGCACCUGCUGGUGGCAUUGGAAAGGCACAAUUAGGAUCAAGUAAAACAUCUCGUAAGAUCCUAGAAUCAUGGGCAUUACCCUUCCACCCUACUUUGACAUAAGUGAAUCUCAUAUUAUGGUCACACACGGCUAGAAUAUUUUAUAAUAAGCCGCCAUAUCUAUUCCGGUAACGAUCCCUGUCUUCGGCUCUACACCAAGGUGAAACGUGUGUUCCAUCAAUAGCUCCAACGCAAUCCUAAUCACAAAGGCCAGCGUUACAUAUUGAAUAGGUUUUCAUAAAAUACUAACUUCACAUUAAAUCCCUAACCUUAAACCAUGGCCAGAACAGCGCACUGUUCUGUAUUCUUGGAUGAAUUACGUGAUAAUCUAUCGGCCUGACCAAGUUGCGUCCCAAUCGAACGAGAGAUCGAAGGCAGCGUUGUGGAUGGCGGUUCACUGUCUCGGAAGAAUGUUGGAAUCUCUCGGCUAGCACCCUAUGUCGCUCAUUAUAACUCAAGCACAGAAGGCAAAUGGUGAUAGACUCAUGAAUUCCUACCCGUUGUGUAGGGUGCGGCUCCCAAUAGCCCCGCUCAAGCAACAAGUCACAUAACUACUGGAAAAGGGAGCUUCCAUUCGAAGGUUAUCGAAUAUUCUAUCUCGAUGGCCAUUUAUUAGCUCUAGAACCCAUUGAGCACCCGACUGUGAACCAUCUCGGAUUCGUCACCGCUGCAAAGGGUUUAGGUAUGAGUCGAAUAAGGCCAAUCCAACAAGUACAAACAUGGUGAAGGUCAAAAUGAGCUCCUCCUCGUCCGAUUCGUCAGAAGUUUCCCCACCAUGUGCAUAAUGAUCAUACUCCAUUUCAAGUAUUAUUGGUGCAGCUUCGUCAAAGGUGAAUCUGCAAGGUUUAUGGCAGUAGUAAUGAUCAAAAUCAAGAUCAAUAGGCUCCUAAUUAAUCAUAAAUGACUUAAAAAUAGCUAUACACCUGCAAUAGUGAAUACUCGAAAUUAUAUGCGAUUUACAAAGGCAAGUCAUUAAUUUCCUUUUCAAGACACCAACGAACAAGCCAGUGUUAGUAGCAAAUAGUAUCCUUCAAUGCACAUGGAGUUAGAAUGAUGCUUUAAUGUACAGUUUAGCAAUAUCCUAAAAUACUAGAGCAAUCACCCAAUUGGCCACAAACAUUGUGAAUAAAAUAAAAAACUCAUUGUUAACUUAUCGUGGCCACAAAGCAUCCUAAAUUUAAAUACUAGCCAACAAAGUCAUGGCUACAAAGUCAUCCUGAAUUUAAAUACUCAACAUUAAGAAUUGUAAAAUACUCAACAAAGUCAUGGCCACAAAGCAUCCAGAAUUUAAAUAAACAAAUGACAAUCGAAGAAAAAAAAACUCAAAUGUUCCGAUAGCAAAUGCUAUAACUAACUGUCUCAAGUAUAAACAAACAAAGGCAACAAGUCAAGCUUCAAAGAAGUGCUCCCAAUGCACAAACGACUUUAACGGGGGUGGGGGAGGGGGCUCCUGAGUGCCAUGGUCAGGCAGGAAACAGCCUUUUAACUUCAUAAAGGUAAUGCGGUCAGCGUCUGAUCUAGCUAAAUUCCAAAUAGCCAACUCUUGAGAGUCCUUCAAUAUUUCAACAGCGGCCAUUUUGGCUACAUAGGCCACGUUCUCUAAUCCCCGAAAUUAUUCCAUGGCAAUUUCAUAGUCCGAUUUCUUCGAGAGAUAGCGGCCAGAACGACGCUUGGUCAGAGAGCUGGCUAACACACUCAUGCCGCUGCUCUUCUUUCGACUAACCAGCGACUCAAUAGUGUCAAGAGCCCUGAGGUAUCUACCAGUUACUGAACCAGAGGUGAUGGACAUUGGACUACCGCUUGAGCAAUCACCCGACUUCCGCUUUCCUUUACCCUUCUUCCCUUUCUCUUCAUUCACCCCAACUACCUCAAUAUCAGCAUCCUCGGCCGCAUAGUCUAACCUUCCCUUUCCCCGUGCACAUCGUGCAGCAGUCUCCAUGUCUUGCUUCUCGGCUGAAGUACGCGGGUUGUUCUCCAAGCCAGAGCUGAAGUCUCCCGUUGCGCCUUGAUUGACAAAUACCUCCUCAAGUAAAUGAUAGACUGAGCAGUCAUUUUGAAAUUUUACAAAUUUUGGGUUCACCUAGUAAAAAAAACACAGCCAAAAGGGAGUUAACAAAACCAGCACAUAUAAGGAGUAAAAACACAGUCAUGGUAGAUAUAAAAACUCAAUUAUUGAAUAGUUAUACCUGCUCUAUCUCGGCCCACUUGUUAUCGUCCAUAAGCCAGGUAAACUUCUGGCUAUCCCAACCCAAUUCCGUUCCCAACCUUUUGAAGGCAAUGUACAGUUUGGUUAGUUCUCGCAAAGCAUAGUAUUUGGCUCUUAUACUACCAAAGGUGAAGGAGGUGCCGUAUUGGCCGUUCAACCGCCAUUGGAUUUCGGGAACCACAUAGCUAGAAAUGUUAUUGUCCCUAAUUUCAGUAGCUCUAUGCAUGUUCACAAGGUGGUGGGCAAAAUCAAUUUCAUGCUGCUUAGAGAAAUGCAAACGCUCCCCACCUCCUCGCCUUUGUUUUCUCAUCUUAAUUAACCCAUAAACAAAUCCAGAAACAAACAAAGAAAUAAAGUGAUAGGAAUGAUUAUUCAAGAUACAGAGAUGACAUAACAAUAACCAAACUGGAAGAGGAGCAAGAAUUACCUUGUAGUAGUUAGAAAUGCACUGCCUUAAAUCGUUUUCCCCCCAAGCUGAGUUGGAUGAAUGAGUAUACAAGAUGCUUUUAUGCUUCAAUGCUGUGUUGACAUAGGAAUAAAAUUACUGACCAAUAAACAAGGCAGUGAACAAAGGGGAACCAAGCAAAUAUACCUUUGGCAGCACGGCGGGUAAUAGGCGGGGGUAUGUAGCCUUAGAAAGCAGCAACUAUACAAGUCAGACUACCUUGUUUUUUAGCACCGAACAGCAAUAUGAAGUUAGACAGUAGACAUCAAGUAUUUUCGAGGCCAAAGAAAAAAAUUUACAAGUCUUAAAUAGCAUCAGGCAAUUCAUUGCAGAAAAAACACAGAAUUAGGCAAGAAUAAUAUGACAACAUGAGUUCAAUCCGCAAUUAAACAAGGCAAGACACAGAGAGGACAGUGCACAAUAUGGAAAAGCACUAAGCAAAAGCUGCUCUACACUAAUUUCCAUUGAGAUCAGCAAUAUGACAGAUAAAAACUUAUUCCACCACAGACUGCUUUUUCUCAUAUCAGCUUUCACAUGAAAAGCUUCACAGUAAGCACACUUGAAAGUGGACGGUGUCUAGGAAGUUAGUGUGCUAAGGAGGGGAGGAUAUGCAGCAAAUUACUUCCUCUGACCUUCCCAACUACAUAAAAACUUCCACUUUAAUAUUCUCAAAAGCUUCACUCUAAGUCAUGGCAGCAGCAUAGGCUACACUUGUUUAUUUUGGCUUAUAGAAUUUAAGCUUUCCUAAAGCAGCUAGCAUGGUUUAGAUGUGAACAUAUAAUUUCACCAACAGUAUCCCCCAAGAGAAAAAUGGUAGACAAGCAUUUAGCUACUUCAAGUUAGACUACAAAUCAUACUCCAAAAAUAAAAAAUUAGCAUACUAAAGUAAGAACUACUCAUCCAAAACCCAUUUUACACAUCUUUUCAACAGGUUUUCAAAACUGUCCAAACGCUCAUAACUAAAAUAAAACAAUGAAGCAAGCAGCAAUAAGGUUUCUGGUGGCAUUUGAAAUCACUGGAAUAACCAAAACCUCAAAUUCACAAUAGCUUUUGGGAAGCAACUUCAAUGUCUUUUCAAGAGCCAAGGUUGUGAAUAUAUGCCUUCAAUGCACGGCAACAGAUUAAUGCUUUCUACUAAACUCUAUCCAAUAAUUAACAUAUCAAACUAUCCCACACUUUGUUGUAAUAUUUUCCUAGAUCUUCUUACCAAAAAAAACUUAAGUAUAAAAAAUUAUUUCAGCACUCAAAAUAAUUGGUUCAUUUUUACUUACAUAACAAAAAUAAUGUGCCCCUCUUAUUUCCGCAGUAUAAGCAAACACUUAAAUGGUUACAAUUAUUUUUUUUCCCUUUUAUCCAACCAAAUAAAUCCAGGAAAAUAUGUUCGCAUUCAUUAAAUCCUCAGACAAAAAUACUUCUGACAUGCAACCAUAAAAAGGUUUUCAAAAUAUAAAGCAAGCAAUUUUCUACCAAAGCAUUCCAAAAUUCUUCGAAAAUAGCAAAAAUCUCCGCAAAUGAAGUCCAUUCUUGAAUGAAAUCGAACCUCGUCUAGAAACCAGAUCGCAAGUGUAUCACAUAUAUUUGUGAUUUGGCCACAUCAAUUAGACAUUUUUAACCAAAACACAAAAAACCCACUCAUUAUUCUAGACUUGGAUAAGCUAAGAAGCAUUUCAAAGCAGGGAAAAGAAAACAUACCUUUUUCAACCUGCAGAGCGAAGAGGGAGUCGGAGUUCCUUGAUGCCAGACGAAGUCUCGCAACGAGUCUCUGCUUGGAUUGUCUGAAAACGUGAGAGAAGCGGCGGAAAAGCAAACUCAGUUAGUGUGGAUGCUUUAGAGGAGCAUUUCCAGAAGCAAAGAUUUAGUUCGACUUUGGUUUGCAGCGGCGUUCACACUGAAUUGCAUUUGAGAAAGUGGUUUAGGGUUGAGUGGUCAAAGAAUAGCCGAAUACAACACAAUUGGGGCUUUUUUCACAAAAAUGAGGUAGGUUUGUGUUUGUUUAACUGUACACUUAAUUGUUAUUGGGUCACAACAUUUGUGUCAUUGAAAGACAAAAACAGUUUUUUGAAAUAAUUCCAAAUCCAAACGGAGCCUUGUAAUAGUAAUUAGAAUAAAGUUGUGUGUGAGAAUUAGAAUUCUCAUCUUUUUCCACAAAUUUUUAUUUUUAUGUAUUAUCUGUGUAUACUUACUAAAUUGCAAAUAAUUUAACAAAGAGUUGCACUUUAAGCUCAAGGACAAGGUUGUGCUGAUAUGAAGUACUCUUAGGUUUCUUUUUAUGCAAAGACCACGUUUGUUAUAUAUUUAAUUUAAUUUACAUUUUAUUCUUUUUUAACUGUUAUUAUGAUUAUUUGAAAUCAAAAGGAUUAUAUUGAUCAAAAUUCCACAUAUUAGAGACCAAAAAUGCAAAAUUAGAACUUUUGACUAACGUCAAUUCAAUUGUGAUCAUUAGUUAUUAUGAUUUUCUGUUAGUGUUCCAAAAUUUGUAUGAAAUCAAAGACUUUGGCCACCAAAUUUCCUUUAGUUGCAACGUUAGGGACCAAUUUAGUAUAUAGACCAAACACUAAGCACCAAAAUUAUAUUUCUUCCUUUUAUUCAGUAUACUUUGGAAUGCAUUAGAGCAAUAUCAGAAUAUUAGUAAGUUGUAUUUAUUCAUGCUAGGAGGAAAUGCCCGUGCGCAUAGGAGUUUAGUGCCUAUGAUUAAAGAUGGUUAAUAGUUAUUAUUUAGUGUUUUAUAGUAUAAGAAUUGAAGUAUGAUAAAUUUAUUAUGUGAUGUUAAAUAGAAAAUUCUUAAGUUACAUACUAAGUCAAAAAAAAUAUAAUAUGUAAUGAAACAUAAUUAUAAGAUACGAUCAACUACUUUGCAUCCAACCUAGUAAAAUAAAAUACUUAUUUAUAUCUGCUCAUGCACUUUAGGGAUAUUAAAAUCUGCUAUUGAGUUUGAAUUUUAUCUUGAUACGAGGGCAAUCCAUCGCAUUAUCUUGUCAUAUAAGUGAGAUUUGAAUAAUUAGCAUGCUUGAAGAAAUCAUUGCUAAUGGAAUUUUGGUUCUUGCAGGCCAAGUUCUUGCAUUUAUAUUGAUUCUAAAGACAUAUCAUUACGAGACCUUCACAUAGACCAAUCAAUCAAUUAUAAUUUAUUGUAUGAUUUAGGAGAUAUAGCAAAGCAUCUACUUCUUGAUAGGGGAUUAUAAUCACGAAAUAUUAGUUUUUGAGCUAAUUGCAAAGAUAUACAAUAACUAACCUUCUAAUUUAGAGGAAUAAUUAUCUCAAAAAGGUACUAAGGCAUCUUAAUCUACUCAAUUCAAGAAAACAAUUAAAAGUAAUGAAAUAUAUACUUUAGAUUUACAACCAAAUAGUUUAAAGUAGAUAGUUAAACCUUUUGGCAAAUAAAAUGAAGUGAAAAAAUUGCCCAAAUAAAAUCACUAGUAAAGUAACAAACGAUUUAAAAACUACCAUAACUAAUAGUUAAAAUAGCAAAAAGAAGUAGAUGCAGUUUGUAAGUGGGAAAAGUUAUGGUGAUAAACUUACCUUAAACCACAAAUAACAAUUAACAAAUGUGAUCUCCUCCCUAUCAAACCUACCUAACAUGGACAAUUAAAUUAAAACACUAAAAAAUUAUUGCACAUUCAACCUAUAAGAUUAUAGAUUUCUUACAACCAAAAAGUAGAUUGGUUAAAGAAAAAACAUACCUAUUAAGAAAGUUGCUACAAAAUGGGGAAGAUGAGUAGCUAAUGUAGUAAUAUCCGAAUUAAUAGGUUGCAUAAUUGCGGUGAAUCAAAAUUACAGGUAAAUGAAAGGAAUUUGAAUAAAUGGGGGUUAUUAUGGUUACGGCCAAAAAAGCCAAAAUUCUCCACUAAUUGGCAUCAAUGGUGUAUCUUAACAUUUAUAUAUAACAAGUUUGCAAAGAACCAAUGAGAAAGGUUUCAGGAAAUUAAGAGACUUGAAUGUUAAUAUAAUUAAAUGAUUAGAAGGGUUUUUAUUUAAUUUCACUAAAACACAAGUUGAAUUCAAUUGUACCCAAUGCUGAAUCGAACAUCAAACAUUGUCGCAUGUCAAACUUGCCCCUAACUUUAAAUGUUUGAAAGAACAAAUUACAACAAAACUAAAUUAAUUAUAAUGACUUGUACUCAAUGCUCCAAUUACGUUACAAACACUGGUACAUUCCUAACAUAACCCCACACUUACUGUUGAAAUUCAAGAAUCAUUUUUGCCCUGAACUCAUUCUGAUAUAGUGAAGAAAACAUGUACAUGUUUUUUAAGUAGUAAUGGGCUUCUUUAACGUAAGAAAGGAUUUAGUUUCCCGCCCAACCCUUUCUUUUUUGAUCAUUUUCGCUUUCCGAACCAGCUGUCUGAGUUGACCUCUCUCUCUCUCUCUCCCCGUUUGUUGCAAACAUUUAGUGCCUAAGAAAGAGAGGCAGAGCGUUAAAUGAGAGGCAAACGCAAAACUCUUGCUAGGGGAUGACGUGGCUAAACAUUUAUCGCAGAGUCUAUCUGUUGGGUCAUAGACCAGAUACAGCCAAGUAUUUGCCAGGAGCAACGCAAAACCCUCCCUCCCCCUCCCCUGAAUAUUACAACGUUAAACCCCUUUUCUCCAGUCCUCCCUAAAGUGCCUAUGAAGGUGACGAAAGAGAACAUAACGCAUGCUCGGAUUUUGAUUUUGUUGUUGAUUCUCAGAUGUAGUAUUAAUACCAUUAUUUAAUUAGUAGUAAUGGUAUAUACUAUAUACAGGGCGGAGAGGACAAGGCUAAACUCACCAAAAUAGGAGCAAGACCGGUGGCCGGUGGCAAAUAUCGGUGGCGGACCAAGGAGGACUGUCUCCGACGACAACGAGACUCCUGAGUCCGGUGAAGGUGUAGUUAGUUGUGAAGUGGAAAAACGCUAGCGGUAAUUGGAGCAUUGAUCUUAUUUCUACGAGAAAUAGUAGUAUCAAGACAACCGGAGUCGCAGAUAAUGCAGCGGCACUUUGCGAGGCGGCUGUCUGUUUCUCCGGCGGAGCUCUCUUAUUCCGCUAGAGGUUUUCUUUUUCUUCUCUCCUCUUUCCUAUUUCUUUUCUCCAUUUUAUUGGUAAUUGUUUCUCAUUGCCAAUCGGCUUUUUUUAUUUCGUUUUUCAAUUUCAUUUAUAGAAGCUUCUCUGGCUAUUUAAUUUUGUUUUUCCUGUGUUAUGAAUAUUUUUUCCCUAAAUUUGGCUGGGAAUUGCUGUGUAUGAAAUUAGGUCUUCGUCAAAAUUAUUUCUCUUUUUUGGUAAAAUUUUUCCAUAAUUUUUUUUUGAUUUAUUGGUUAGGAAUGUUUUUUCUUAUGAUCAAUUUUGAAAUGCACUCUCCAUUGUAGGCUAUUUAAGAUCUGUUUGGAAUUCUGACAAUCAUAUUGUACUUCGGUGCAACAUAGCUUUUGCUGAGACAUCAAAUCUUGUGGGUGGAUCGAAACUCCAAUGGCGCAGAAGCUCCUUUGCGGUCUCUGCUGCUUCAGACUCUUCAUCAGAAGCUAGGAAGGGUCGGAAAAGGGUCUCAAAGGAUGAAAGGAGAUCUAUGGUGGAAUCGUUUGUACACAGGUAAUAAUCAUUCACAACUAUGUAUCUAUUUGAUUGACUUUCAGCUUAAAUGUGUUGGCAUUAUUUCUGGUUGAAACUUUGGUUACCACUUUUGAAUACAUGUUCAUCCAUAGUUGGAUAUGCUAUGCAGUAUUCUUGUGCAUAACAUGAAAGCUAGAGCCGAUGAAAAUAGCUUGUAUAUGAAUGCUGAGUCUGUUAUGUUCGAUGAUCAUAUACAAACAUAAAGUUGAAUAUCUUGGGGUUAGUUUAAGAAUAGAUUCUUCACUUGUGGAUGCCAUGCCUUUUGUCUUUUAUUGAAGACCAAAUAUGGUACAAAUUAUAGUGGCCUAGGUUUUGGCCUAUUGCAGAUACAAGUUUUAAGAGUUAAUUAAAUGAAAUGCUUUGCAAUGCAUUAUACUUAUGGCCCCAAAGUUAAAUUUGUGAGUCCAACUAGGAAUUGAUUUCCAAGAGAAAAUUAGAAUUAGCCCAGUUUUGACCCAAAGCCAGUGCUGUGAAAUUAGACCAUUUUGAAGUUAGAUUUCAUUAUUUUGUUUCCUGGUGAUUAUAUUAUAUUAUUAUUGCUAUUGUUAUUAUUUUAAUGUGUUUUUGACUUAGGCCAGUUAAGUUUUAUGAAAAAAUUAAAUUAGAUCUUGAACCAAAUGUAGCCUAAACCAUUUAAUGAACAUCCCUACUGUGAAUAAAUAUUUGUAAAGAGUGAAAUGGAAGCAGUUGAAUAGAUAUGGAACCGGCAGUACUUAGUUAUAACCUAGCUAGCAAUUAUUAACUUCUGUAGGGUGGGAUCUUCUUUUUGAAACUGAUGCAAAUACCAAAGGAGAACCAGACUGUGUAACCUAAUUGUGCACAAGGCACCUGCAAAUGAAGGAUUAGUAUAUCUGAAAAAAAAUGGAAUAGAUUUGAUUUUUGCUUUUUGAUCCAGCUUCCAGACCAAAAGGUAUUAUCUAUGUUUGGAGAAACUACAGUAGCUCAUAAAGUUGCUGAAAUGAAGACAAACGUAAAAUAGCGAAAAACAGAUGAAGCAUAAGUAAUACUUUGUGAGUUUGGAGCUGGUCUUUGCCCUCUCAUGUGGAGAUUUUAGAAGGCGCACCUGUGAGCCUUCACUGGGCCUCUACUGGUGGUUGUGGAGAUUCAAUUAUGUGGAUGACAUGAUGAAUUGAAGGCAUCAGUAUGAAAUACAGUUUUUGAGAUGGUUUUUGGAUGUUGGAGGGCCUAUCUUGUCAUUUACUGCUAUAAUUGGUGAUUACCAUAUCCCUCUUAUGCUUUCUGGCUGAGGCGUGAUUUCCAAGUGGGUCAUGAUGUAUGCCAAAAUGUUCCAAAGCAUUUUUCCUUUUCUUUUUUUCCUGAGUUGGAGUUUGUUCAGAAAAGGGGAGAGAAUAUUCGUCCUUUGGGACGCAGCCACUCUGUGAAUCAUUGGAAUCAAUCAGGAGAUUUGUUGAUGGUUCUUGGGGGUCACUAGUACCGAUCUAAAGGAUGCUGUGUUUAUGGUUGGAAUCUGUCUGCUGUGCAAUCUGCUGUUGAAUAAUAAAAAUGUGGAAGAAGAUGCCUUUUCUAGUCCUUUUGGAUGGUUUUGUUACGUCCAAUUUACCAUGGCCUCCUCCACUAUUACAUAGUGGCUUGUGGGGUGAUCAUUUCCUUUUCUAUUUAAUUGAAAAAGAAGGGGGCCAACUUUUCCGUGACUCCCCCCUUUUUGGGUUGCCCUUACAUUGCAUGUUCCCCUUGAAUGAGAACAAGAACUCUCUCACGUCCGUAGAAUAUUCCUCUUGUUUUUGCCAAUAGAACAUUUUAGAUGUACCCAACUUGUUCUCACAACAGUGUCAGUGCCACCACGGUGGCUGUAAGGCACGCAUUCCUUUUUUUGUGUUUUGUGUUUGGGGGGGGGGGGGGGAGACCAAUGUCUAUGUCAAUUUCACACGAGUGGCAAUGCAGCGGUGGUUGUGGGGAAAUGUUUUUGUAGCUUAUAGAGGGUUGGUACAAUUUUUACAUGCCAUACCUUAUUUUGUUAAUCUAGAGCAUCCUCUUUGUGCCCUGAAAUUAAUCUUUACCAAAAAGAUAUGCUUACAUUGUACGCUAGAUUUAUGGGCUGCUAUGACAAUUUGAUCUCUAAUGAUGUUUCAUUUUUUUUAGACAAAUUUUCUGAAGUUUGGGCUGAGGAAUUCUGAAUUGUUACAUAGAAGUCCCUUUCAGUGUUUAUAUUUACAAACUUUUUUUACCCAUUGAAAUUGAAGCAGAAGUGUGUAUCAUUAUUGCAGGUAUAGAGUCCUGAACUUGGGGAAGUUUCCAACUGUUUCAGAAGCUCAAAGAGAAGUUGGUGGAUCAUACUACACUGUGAGAAUGCUGGUACAAGAGUUGCAAUAUAAAUCUCAAAUGCCUGCUAUAAACACGAAGGAAUCUGAAAUCGAAGCAGAAACCAAGAGAAAGGUUGAACUAUCAAUCAUUAUUGGAGAUGUUUUGCGCAACCAAAUUGCAACUGAAGAAGAUACUAUUGCUUACACUCAGGAAAUUGUUAAAACACCAUUGCGAGAUAGUGAAUCCACAAAAGGUGAAUUAGAGAUUUCAGAUUAUCUUAUCAAGGUGAGUGAAGCCCCAAUAAGAAAAAAAACAGCUGGGGAAAGUGAAUUGACAGAAACUACAGUACCAUCAGUUGCGCAGACAUCAUCAGACAUUGAAGCUCUUAAGAAUGAAUCUCCACCACUAAGAACUUCUUGGGAAAAACAAGCAGUUCACAAAAAUGACUCGUUACCUGAGAGUGAUGAGCAUCCAAAACAAGAUUCAUCACCUUCAGUUUCAGAAGAGGAGAUUUCUUUCAGUAAAACUGGAACAUCUUCGGCAAGGGUAAGUAUUGAAUCAAUUUUCAACCUUACAGUUCACAAAGGAAUUUGAGAUGAAAUAAAGAAAAUUAACGUCCCUUUCAUUUGAUAAUUAAAGAGGUCAUUAAUGAAGAAAAGCACAUUUCUUGGCGUAUAUCAUCUCAGCUUGUGCAUGUCUGCGAAAUUUUAAUUUCCCAUUUCUCUAUUGCCAAAAGUGAAGAUUGGAAUGAGUCAAUCGACAAUCAAAUUUGUGCAUCUCAAUUACUUACCAGUUGCUGUCAGUCAAGGGAACUUGCUGAACUUUUGUGCACUAUUUGUUGAGAGGACAUAUAAUUUUUAUGGUGCUAUUAGAGAUAUUACUCAUGCAGACUGGGAUUUUAAUUACAUCUGCAUUUAUGGUGUGAGAAUAUGUCUAUGUCAGAGUGAUAAAUCUGAAGCACUUUCCGACGGAAGUGAUUCGCGUAAUGAAGAACCAGAAUGUGAUGUCAUCAAAUUUAAAGAUAAUCAGCUGGAGCAAUCACCUGAACCAGAGAAGCUUACAAGGUAAGAUGUUUAUAAUAUUCUUGUUCUGCGUCCUUCUUGAUACAAAUUGCUGGGCACUAUGUUGUUGGACUUUGCAUUCUGAAGCUUUUUAUGCAUAAUGAUUUCAUCCCUUAGAAAACAUAAAAGGAAAAUCAUGAUAACAUUUGCCUUAUUGGUAGCAUACAUCAUCUUAUAUUGCUGCCUGCACAAUCCUUGCUUCCUGUAAACUUUCCAUCAUGAAUAUGGCUAGGGUUCACAGAACAAAUCUCCUGUGGGAUUGUUUCUUUGCCCCGAUCUUUAGAUUUUGCAGACUUUCACAUUCGGGUAGCCUGUAAGUCUAUUUUUUCCCAACCUAAAAUAAGCCAAUGUUCAACCUUCUGAGCUAGACAUGGUUGACGUAUAGUGAUUAUUGUCAUGGCUAAUGUUUUAUUUCUUUCAUUUUUCCUCUUAAUGAUUUCAUUUGCUUUUCUUUGCAUCUAAUAUAAUUCAUGGAUUUUAUUUUUGAGGCUUUCAACAGUAGUUGAUACAGUUAGAGCCAGGUUGCCUGUAGUUGCUUCUGCCUGGCAAUGGGUAUCCUCAUAGUUACCUGGUAGAAGAGAAUGUGCAAAUUUGGUUUAUAAGACUUACAGAAUAGUAAGAGUGAGAUUCUGAAAAGGGCCUUUUCCAUGGCCUUAAUUUUGCGGUUCCUUUAACCAAGUGGUUGUUGCCAAAGAACAACAGUAUCUGCAUUGACUUGUAUUUUAAUCACUGAUAACACAAAUACAUAAAACUCUUAAUUUGUGUUGACUUGUCUUGAACACACACUAGAUAUUCCAGUAGACUGUCUGCUGCAGUUGUCCCAGCAUGUCUGUCUUUCUCAGUUUAACUUAGUCUUGAUGAUAAAGUAACACAGAUAAAUUACUACAGGCCCCUGCUAUGUUCUGAUGCCUUAUGUGCUGAUUAGUUGGAUUAUAUGAGAUGAUAGUUUCAGUUUUUAGCAACUUGUGAUCAUGACUCUCUCUUACCCUCGUGCAUGUUUGUGUGUGCAUGUCUCCAUCAUUUAGUGCCUAGACAAGGAGGCUUGUUUCAUACUUUCUUUUACCACGUAACUCCAAAAUCCACCUCAUUCUGGAAUUUUUAUGCUAAUUGCUUUUAUAAGUUCAGAUGAUACCAUGGAAGUUAAUAAGCAGAUACUUUUUAUGGCUUCUACAAAACAUUGUGAUACAAUUUUGCCAAUGAAUUGCUAUAGAGGCUUGAAGUUACCAUGUAUUGGAAGCAAACUUGGAUGAUUGAUGAUUGUAGAUUGAUUGUUUUGUAGUUUGCUUUAGUAAGAGAAGAUGAACAUGAAUUCUACUGAACAGAUUUCUUAGUGUAAGUCAACUUGUCUAUUGUGAUACGUAACUUUAUGUUGGAAACUAGCACGCAUCAAAACUCAGCUGCUUCAACCUACUGAUGGAUAUUUAUUUCAUGCGGUUUGGCUGCUACAGCGACUCAUUAUUUCCUCUUAUUUUUAGCGUCUUAUUAAUGUGAUCAUUUGUUAUCCAGGGACCUGUCCAAAGAGCAGACAGAUGAUGCAGAUUCACCGAUCGAAUCUUUUACAUGGAAAAGCCUCAAGUCUCUGGCUGAUGGCUUUCUAAAUAUGUGGAGAAAAUUGUAAUUUUGUGUGUGAAAAGUGAUUGAGCGGAGUUGCAUGUUUUGGAUUGACUCUGAUGUUUCGUACAUCAUGUACAGAAAGACAUCUUUCUUUCCUUUUUUUACGCCUCCCUGUACUUAGGUUUCGACUUCUGACAUAAUGUUACCACUGAAUGUAAGCUGCUUGUUGGAAAAGAAUGAGAUGGUUUGCAGCUAAUUUUUGACGGUCAAAAACAUUUGUAGUGGUGGCAAAGGCAAUAUUUGAAUUUUCUGCCUCCUUUUUAUGUCAACUUUCAAACCGCCUUGUUCAUGGCAAGUUUUCUAGAAAAAAAAAUCUCCAAAAUCAUAGUAGUGGACUGAAAAAAAAGUGCAUCUGGUGAAUAGGUCUCUCCCGCUUGAUAUCUGAAGGAACGGAUCGAUGUCGGAAUUUUAUUUACGCAAAUUGAUUUCCAUUGAAUGUGCAUUGCAGUCGUUGAAAGCUCCUGAAUAACAGCAAAUACUAUGACUUUGAUUUGAUUUGAUUUUUAUGACGCUUUUGUCUUCUACCCUUAUUUUGCUGGUUGAAGGCUUGAAGCGGAGGCAGUAUAGGCUUGCAAACCUGGGUACUGACGCAACUUUCGACCAUGUCUCAAGAUGGUACGCUAUCGAUCUCCCAUGAAUUUAUGACUCUCAAGUCCCCUCAUAACACAAUGCACUUUUUAAAUUUCUGACCUAUAAAUAUCAGAAGCAUGAAAGCGUAACAUACCCGCCCAUUGCUAUCCGAAAUGCUCUCAGGUAAUAGAGCUAGAGGGUCUAUGCUAAUUAGGCAUCUAGCCAGAAUCUAUUACACCUGUGAGACACAUGCACUGCUGGGAGUAAAAAAUAAGGGAAAAUAUAUUAUUUAGACCGGCCAUUAUUCAAAAUCUAUUUGCUAUUAAACAUGCUUCUCCGCACAUCGUCCAUUUUUGACAUAGAUAAUCUCUUUCCUUUUGUAUCAAGUAAAAUCAAUUAAAUUUGAUAUAUUUGAAUCGACUACCAAAAGCGAGAAAAAGGUAAAACCAAAAGCAGUUCAGAACGUGGAAGCGCCAUCUGAAAGAAUUUGCUUUUAAGCAACAAAGCAUCUUCAUAUUCUUAUCUACAACUCCCCAGUUUUUUCUAGUUUGUUGAUCUGUGGAUGGUCGUGCUUGUUGAUACCUAUUACAUCUGAAUACUACCUUAUUUAACGAAUUGGUAGACGGGCAUGUGGUCCAUGACUAAGAAAACAAAGUUCACCUAUUAAACAACGAGGGCAAAGUUGUGUGAACUCCCUCAAACCUUGAGGUGGAAACUACAAUUACUCCUUUAGUGGAAAGGGAAAGGGCUGUUGGAAUACUACACCGCAACUUCCAUUUACUUCUGCCUACAUGAGGUUAUAUGCAGGAGUUCAAUAUAUAUAGUUAGUUUCCAGAGAAAAACAUCGCACGCACUUCAUGUGAACAAACAAAC